rnacentral:lncRNA from 1 species
CUCCCACUUAGUUUAAAGCCAAUCGAUGCAGCAUCUAAUACCCAUCUUCGACUUGUAGUUGUCGAACUCCUUCACUGUAAUGGCUUUAGUGAAUGGAUCAGCCAGGUUCUUCUUUCCGUCGAUCUUUUUAAGAUCGACGUCAUCUCGAUCCAUAAUUUCUCGGAUGAGAUGAUAGUCAUGAUUCAUGCCUUUUUUUUUUU